GGGGGACAACAGUUAGAAAUGACUGCUAAUACCGCAUAAGCGCACAGGACCGCAUGGUCCGGUGUGAAAAACUCCGGUGGUGUGAGAUGGACCCGCGUUUGAUUAGCUAGUUGGUGGGGUAACGGCCUACCAAGGCGACGAUCAAUAGCCGACCUGAGAGGGUAACCGGCCACAUUGGGACUGAGACACGGCCCAAACUCCUACGGGAGGCAGCAGUGGGGAAUAUUGCACAAUGGGGGAAACCCUGAUGCAGCGACGCCGCGUGAGUGAAGAAGUAUUUCGGUAUGUAAAGCUCUAU
rnacentral:rRNA from 1 species